UACGUAGGGUGCAAGCGUUGUCCGGAAUUAUUGGGCGUAAAGAGCUUGUAGGCGGUUUGUCGCGUCUGCUGUGAAAUUUCGGGGCUCAACCCCGAACUUACAGUGGGUACGGGCAGACUAGAGUGUGGUAGGGGAGACUGGAAUUCCUGGUGUAGCGGUGAAAUGCGCAGAUAUCAGGAGGAACACCGAUGGCGAAGGCAGGUCUCUGGGCCACUACUGACGCUGAGAAGCGAAAGCAUGGGGAGCGAACAGG
rnacentral:rRNA from 1 species